rnacentral:snoRNA from 1 species
GAACUUUAUGAUACGAAGCUUCUCAUUCACUGCACCAUUCUAACCAUUGAGUGAUUGGAGGGGAAAGAGAAGCGAGAACAACUCGAAUUACGUCCUCAUACUAAGUUUUGCGAACUUUUCACGCAUUCUUGGAUCCUACGUUCUCGGUACAACC